GUAUUUUUAACUGGAAUUUUGCUGCUCGUUUUAGGCAGAAACAAUUCUGCAACAUCAUUUGUUUGCUCCGAUGUUUUUAUUUACACAUUUUAUAGAUUAUUACUAUUAUAUAAAAGUGCCCAGUGCUUUACGAGACACAAAAUACAGAUAAUCUCUGUCAGGAAGACUGCACAAUCUAAACAAAACAGACAACACAGACAGGGCUCCCUGAGAGGCACAGAGGAGUGAAGAUUAGUCUUGUUUCAGUUUUAUAAAUAUACUGCUAACAUUAUUGGACAAGAAAUAGACAUGUUUUCUUCUUCUUCCCUUUCCAUCCUCCCGUUUAUUAAUGCUUCCCUCUUAUUCACACAAUAGAAUUAUGAUGCAACAUGAAAUAAAGCCUGGUUUAGGCUGCUGGCCCCAAUUCAACAACCCUGAAUCCCAUCCUUGCUCCCUGGCGCUCACGUGCUUAAGAUUUCUCUGGAUUGGUGCCUUAGAUCAUGCAGUCUAUUGACAGCUGCCCUUUUGCUUACAAAUGAAACCAACCCUAGAUCAAUAAGAAAAAAACAUUAUUCUCUUCACCUGUUUAAUGCCACGGCUGUGGGUUGCUGUAAGAUUUGUAAACAAGCUGAUGUCUACAGGGAAAGCUGUAAGACAAAGAACACCUUCCCUACCAAAGGGAGCGGGUGUUCUGUGUUUACAUACAAAUCACCUUCUGGGGCUUUUUUCAGGGGGCUCCAGAAAUUUGCUGUGUGGACUGACAAGCAGGGGCUGUUUACUGUCUGGUGUGUUUUUGCCUGAUGCACGGAUCCAGCACUUUAAAGGGGCACUUGCAGUUUUCAUCAAGGAACAUUUUUGGAAAGAAUCUGCAUUUGGGAUCUGA
rnacentral:lncRNA from 1 species